rnacentral:rRNA from 1 species
AGCGAACGUUUGCGGCGGGCCUAACACAUGCAAGUCGAACGCACUAGCAAUAGUGAGUGGCGCACGGGUGCGUAACACGUGGGUAAUCAACCCUUCAGCUUGGGAUAACGACUUGAAAGGGUCGCUAAUAUCGGAUACGGCGCGAGAGGCUUCGGCUUCUCACGAGAAAGCCUCGCAAGGGGCACUGAAGGACGAGCCUGCGGCCCAUCAGCUAGUUGGUGAGGUAAGAGCUCACCAAGGCUAAGACGGGUAGCUGGUCUGAGAGGAUGACCCCCCCACAAUGGAACUGAAACACGGUCCAUACACCUACGGGUGGCAGCAGUAGGGAAUAUUGCACAAUGGGCGAAAGCCUGAUGCAGCAACGCCGCGUGUGCGAUGAAGGCCUUCGGUCGUAAGCACUUUCUGAGGGAUGAGCAAGGACAGUACCUCAGGAAUAAGUCUCGGCUAACUACGUGCCAGCAGCCGCGGUAAUGUAGUCGUG